rnacentral:misc_RNA from 1 species
GAUGAAUAACGUAGCGAAAUGCGAUACUUGGUGUGAAUUGCAGAAUCCCGUGAACCAUCGAGUCUUUGAACGCAAGUUGCGCCCGAAGCCAUUAGGCCGAGGGCACGCCUGCCUGGGCGUCACACGUCGUUGCCCCCCCAUCUACUCCUUCGGGAUUGCGGGGGGCGGAUGAUGGCCUCCCGUGCGCCUCGCCGCGCGGUUGGCAUAAAUGCCAAGUCCUCGGCGACGCACGCCACGACAAUCGGUGGUUGCGAAACCUCGGUUGCCCGUCGUGUGCGGUCGUCGCGCAUCGAGGGCUCGAAAAAAUUGCCGGGUUCCGGCUCGGCUUUCAACGCGACCCCAGGUCAGGCGGGGUUACCCGCUGAAUUUAAGCAUAUCAAUAAGCGGAGGA